GACGAACUGUGCAAACGUUAUUCGGAAUCACUGGGCUUGAAGAGUGCGUAGGCGGUUUUGUAAGUCGGGUGUGAAAGCCCCCGGCUCAACCGGGGAAUUGCGCCCUAAACUGCAAGGCUGGAGUGAGGGGGGGGUGUGUGGAACUUCCAGUGGAGCGGUGAAAUGUGUUGAUAUUGGAAGGAACGCCGGUGGCGAAAGCGACACACUGGACCUUGUCUGACGCUGAGGCACGAAAGCCAGGGGAGCAAACGGG
rnacentral:rRNA from 1 species